CCGCGCCUUGCCCGCAAUCAGUGGUUCUUAACUGCGAGUGCAAUGCUCCUUUGUAACGUUAAAUGUAUCCUUUGCCUGUCACUAGAUAAUGAAUGGUAUGUUACCGCCACUGUUAGUUUAAAACACGACAUAAAGAACCGUGGAACAAUGAAUUAAAAAUUUGUACCCGAUCUCUCUUUAGGUAUGGAGCUAGGUGCAGAUGCAAUGUGGCUCUCGAUAGCGCCUUAUGGAUAGUUGUGUCCCAAAGGAAGGAUGAGAAUAUCUGCUGAAGUCCUAAAGAGCAAGCCUAACGCAAGCUGUUGGUACACAGGCAUUACACAGAAACCUGGAAGUUGAAAUGGUGGAAUCCAACUUGCCUGGACCAGCUUUAUGGGUUCUGCUGGUAACGUUUUUAUCCAUGGAUGGCUUGCUUGGGUGCAGAUGUCGGAGACCUCUUAAAGGUAUGGAGAGUCGGUCUGACUACACUGUGAGGAGCAAUUUGUGGAGCAAGUUCUCAAGAAGCAAAGGACUCGGAAUUCAUGCUUGAAGAAAUGCAGGCAGAUCUGUUUUAAAUGGAGUUUUUCAUCUCGUAACAGGCAGACCUGCUAACUUAAAACUAGAGUUUUUAAUGACCACAGCAAGCAAGCAUGCAGUUUGGCCCUUGAAAGGUGAGGAUUGGAAAUAUUGGGACUAUUGUAAUUGCAGAAUACAUGAUGAUUUCACUCCAACUUGAACUCUCUCACUGAUUACUUGAUGACAAUAAAAUAUCUGAUAUUCUGCAUUCCCCAUGUAGCAUUUUAAUUGAAGUCUGGAAAUGUGGCUAAAAGUUGUCUUUUUAUUU